rnacentral:lncRNA from 1 species
CUCGCGGCCGCCUGCCGCGCUAUGAGGGAGCGUCUCCGGGGCUGGCCGAGGCCGGGGCCGCCUCGCUCUGCUCGCCGAGAAGUGUGAAGAGAGGCGCGGGCGGGAGCCCUGGCUGCGCGCGGCGGCGGCUCCAGGUGAGCGCGGAUCUCAGAGCAGCCGGCCACUGACCCGUCUGGAUCUAGGCAGCAUCCCAAGCGGGGACCGCGGAGCUCUCUCCGAGGGAUCAACAGCCACCAUAGCAGGUAUAUUUUGUAGGAGUAUUUUGAAGAUGGAUAUUUUCAAAUCAUUUUGAAAUAGUCAAACACCAUAUACAUGGGAUGCAUCUUGCUUUUGUCCUGGAGAUCACCUCUGUGGCUUGGAUUUAUCUCAGGACCAUUCGUCUUCAGUCUGCGUGUUAAUUAGAAAUCAAGCAUGAGGAGACUCGUCUACUGCAAGGUGGUUCUGGCCACUUCGCUGAUGUGGGUGCUUGUCGAUGUCUUCUUACUGCUGUACUUCAGCGAGUGUAACAAGUGUGAUGACAAGAAGGAGAGAUCCCUGCUACCUGCGCUGAGGGGUGAGUGCUCGUGCAGAAAGAAGUGCUGAUGCAGGACAGAGCAGGACACCUCAAACUAGAU